rnacentral:snoRNA from 1 species
GCCGAGGCUAGAGUCACAUCUCGACACAGCUCUUGUCCUGGUGUGUUAAGAGUCCUCGAAGAGAAUCUACUGGUCUUGAUUCACUGGCGGGGGCAGUCAGUGCCCCCGUUAGUGCCCAGAUCAGUAACACAC